rnacentral:rRNA from 1 species
GACGAACGCUGGCGGCGUGCCUAAUACAUGCAAGUAGAACGCUGAAGAGAGGGGCUUGCUCUUCUUGGAUGAGUUGCGAACGGGUGAGUAACGCGUAGGUAACCUGCCUUGUAGCGGGGGAUAACUAUUGGAAACGAUAGCUAAUACCGCAUAACAAUGGAUGACACAUGUCAUUUAUUUGAAAGGGGCAAUUGCUCCACUACAAGAUGGACCUGCGUUGUAUUAGCUAGUAGGUGAGGUAAUGGCUCACCUAGGCGACGAUACAUAGCCGACCUGAGAGGGUGAUCGGCCACACUGGGACUGAGACACGGCCCAGACUCCUACGGGAGGCAGCAGUAGGGAAUCUUCGGCAAUGGGGGCAACCCUGACCGAGCAACGCCGCGUGAGUGAAGAAGGGUUUCGGAUCGUAAAGCUCUGUUGUAAGUCAAGAACGGGUGUGAGAGUGGAAAGUUCACACUGUGACGGUAGCUUACCAGAAAGGGACGGCUAACUACGUG